ACUUAAGUAUUUUAAUUUAACAAUGUUGAUUUGUGGAAUCAAUGAUAUGACUUUCAUCUUAAGUC
rnacentral:tRNA from 1 species